ensembl:rRNA 5S_rRNA 5S ribosomal RNA
GUCUAUAGCCACACUAUGCUGAACAUGCAAGAUCUUGUCUAAUCUCGGAAGCUAAGCAGGGUCAGGUCUGGUUAGUACUUGGAUGAGAGAUCUGAAUCAGAGUAUCCAUUGAAC